GGUUGAGUAGUGUAAUGGUUAUCACAUCAGAUUCUGAUUCUGAUGAUCUGGGUUCGAUUCCCAGCUCGACCU